UCGAGGGGCAGCACGGUUAGCAAUAACUGGUGGCGACCGGCGCACGGGUGCGUAACACGUAUACAAUCUACCUUAAACAGGGGGAUAGCCUUUCGAAAGAGAGAUUAAUACCCCGUAAUAAAUUGAACGGCAUCGUUUGAUUUUGAAAGCUCCGGCGGUUUGAGAUGAGUAUGCGUCUGAUUAGCUAGUUGGUGAGGUAACGGCUCACCAAGGCGACGAUCAGUAGGGGAUCUGAGAGGACUAACCCCCACACUGGUACUGAGACACGGACCAGACUCCUACGGGAGGCAGCAGUAAGGAAUAUUGGUCAAUGGAGGCAACUCUGAACCAGCCAUGCCGCGUGCAGGAUGACGGCCCUAUGGGUUGUAAACUGCUUUUGUACCAGAGAAAACCCGAGUACGUGUACUCGGUUGAUAGUAUGGUAAGAAUAAGCAUCGGCUAACUUCGUGCCAGCAGCCGCGGUAAGACGAAGGAUGCAAGCGUUAUCCGGAUUCAUUGGGUUUAAAGGGUGCGUAGGCGGACCUGUAAGUCAGUGGUGAAAUCUCUUUGCUUAACAAAGAAACUGCCAUUGAUACUGCAAGUCUAGAGUAUAGAUGACGUUGGCGGAAUAUGACAUGUAGUGGUGAAAUACUUAGAUAUGUCAUAGAACACCGAUUGCGAAGGCAGCUAACGAAACUAUAACUGACGCUGAGGCACGAAAGUGCGGGGAUCAAACAGGAUUAGAUACCCUGGUAGUCCGCACCGUAAACGAUGAUUACUCGUUGUUGGCAAUAUGACCGUCAGCGACCAAGCGAAAGCGAUAAGUAAUCCACCUGGGGAGUACGCCGGCAACGGUGAAACUCAAAGGAAUUGACGGGGGCC
rnacentral:rRNA from 1 species